GUCGCAGCACGAACGCGGAUGGUGAUAUCCUUCCGCCGUCUCCUCAGGACGGGCUGACGCGCUCAGCCGAGCCAGGCCGCGGCGGGAGGAGGAGGGCGGCGUAGAAGAUAGCGAGGUAUCCAUCUGCCUGCCCCUCUGGACAGGCGCACAGCUGCGUAGUCACAAACCUGUCUGCAAAGUGACUUCCAAGUGAGGACUCUUGGAAAUAGUAACUCCUCACUUCAACAUAUUAAUUCUGGGCCACAGCCUCAUGCAGCCAAGCAAUGGGAAGAGGCUCCAUCCCAGAAUAGCCUGUCCUCUCUUCAGGCCUGGAAGCCCUCUGCCAUGUCUCUUGCUGUUUGUUGAAAGCCUCCAUGGAACAAAACUUCAGCCCAGGCCCCCACUUGACACAAGACACUGCAGAAGUUUCUCCUUCCUUCAGCAACGAAGCAAACGCCAGCAGAGAAGAAGGUUCUUUCACCACAGAGGCAGCAAUGCCCUUAAGUGAACCAGCAUCUACACAUGCAAAGCCUUCACCCCAAGUGGGGAAGACCUUUUAACUUGACUCUGCCAGACAUCAAGGGGAUUAAGGGUACCAUUUAACUCGGCCCAACUUCUCAGUUAACAGUAUCCUUGCAUGCACCUCCACUGCUCUUUUGCAGCACUGGGCAAGCUCACUUGAGCCAACUCUUGAGGCUUUUAUCUUUAAAGGAAGCACAGAUAGAAAGUUCAAUAAGCCAUGGAGAUGCAACCCGAAGCAUAACAUAACUGGUUCCAGCCACGCAAAGGAAUGGGAACAGCCAGCACCCUGCAAGCUCCGGGGCUGUCACUGAGAGAUCAUAGGCACUGUUGGCCCUGUUGACCUCAACCAGCUACAGCUUUUGAAACCACACAAGGUAUUUUAAGCCGAACUCCCGGAUCUGAAGACAAGAUUUGAGUCUGUUCAGAGCUGUUCUGCUGGCAUCCAACCACAGAACCAAAAUCCUCAUUCAACCCCAAUGAGAUUUUCCUUCCCGGGCACCUCUGAGAUCCUUCAGAACUGAAAAUGCUGGUUUGCCUUUCAUGAACCCAAGUUCCAAUGUUUGCCACCAACGGAGGAAAAAGCCAGCAUUUACCACACAAGGUUUUUUCCUAUACUAAUGGCAGGAAAUACCACAAAUACCAGGAUGAAAUAAAAAUCCACAGCCCCUCCAGAUGCCACAUGAAUUAGCAAGGGCUGGGAGAGCUGGAACAUGAUGAGAAAUCUUACUCCUCUGUCAUCUGGCUCGAGGACAAGGAGGAGAGGUCUCUGAAGAAAGUCAGCUCCCAGGGGGCUCACAACUGAGAAGCGUUUCAGCUGCCCAACUGUAAGUGCCUCACUCUCCCCCUCUCAGACCCAGAUGACUUCAUUUUCUUCUGUUGCUACUCCCACUCCCACAUACUCCUGAGAAAAGGACAUCGGUCAUGACAUCAAAGUACAAGAAUCCAUCAAACUGCACUUCUGUAUCUCAUCUUCCCAAGGCUGCACUUGCUCUAUGGUCCCGCUGGCAAGAAGCCACCACAGAAAACAGAUUUACCCUGCUGGGAGCAGCCAGGUCCAAAUCAACAUCAAGCUGAAAUUACUGCAUGGAGCACUAAAAACCUUUGGUUUUGGCUUCUUAUGCAUGCAACUUUUGACUGCAAGCUCUGUCUGAACACGAUCAGCAUUAUUGGUACAACCUGCUCAGGAAAUCUCUAAAAAAGAUUGAGCCACUGCUGUAUGAUGAGGGAAGAUGUCUUGAUUUAAGAACACAGGCAUUACUAGAAAGGGAAAAAAUAAAAGGGUCCCUUACUGUUCUGACAUAUCAAAAGCAGACUAAUGAACCACCAGUUCAUAGAAUGACCCUGCUCAUCAUUUCAGAGCCAGGCUGGCCUUUUGUGUUAAGGACACUGAAUAACAAGAGCAAGAACAAACAGAAAGAAUCCUUUCCCCAUGCCCAAAGUAAAUUUUGAAAUGAAAUCAUUUAAAACUACACCCGGCUGCCCUACUUUAAGGUCCACUUAAGAACAGAUGAAAAGUUUUGUUCUAUUGGCAAAACUGAAUCAAGGCUUUUGAUCCUCAAAGAUCUCUUAAUCGCUUUGCACAUCAGUUCUUUUCAUUAUUUCAAACACACUUGAAGACAGCUCCCUUUUUCUCUCUCUCCCUUUUUUUCCCCCCAAAAAAAAACUUCUCUGUGUUUGGGCCAUUUUCCAGCCAACUGUGCCACUACAGCAGAAAGCUGUUGGUUCUUUACUCACUCCAAGUUGCAACAUAUACGCAUUGUGAUUUGCCUUAGGGAAGUCUCAAAAAGCCCGGCCCUUGCAACUAACUGUGCUAGCUCACAGCAUCCACCUCUUCAUCCUUCUAAUGCUUCACAAGAGUUCCAAGGAAGAUUAUAAGCCUCUGGUUAAAAAAAAUGAAAGUAGUUGUUGGUGGCA